AACGAACGCUGGCGGCAUGCCUAACACAUGCAAGUCGAACGAGACCUUCGGGUCUAGUGGCGCACGGGUGCGUAACGCGUGGGAACCUGCCCUUAGGUUCGGAAUAACUCCCCGAAAGGGGUGCUAAUACCGGAUAAUGUCUUCGGACCAAAGAUUUAUCGCCUUUGGCUGGGCCCGCGUUGGAUUAGCUGGUUGGUAGGGUAAAAGCCUACCAAGGCGACGAUCCAUAGCUGGUCUGAGAGGAUGAUCAGCCACACUGGGACUGAGACACGGCCCAGACUCCUACGGGGAGCAGCAGUGGGGAAUAUUAGACGAUGGGCGAAAGCCUGAUCCAGCAGUGCCGCGGGAGUGAUGAAGGCCUUAGGGUUGUAAAGCUCUUUUACCCGGGAUGAUAAUGACAGUACCGGGUGAAUAAGCUCCGGCUAACUCCGUG
rnacentral:rRNA from 1 species